UUUUGCAGCAACAAAGCCUCCUUAUGCUAGAUCGACAAUAUAGUUAUUUAAUGUUUAGAAGUAGGCUAAGUUCACAAUAAUAAUAAUAAUUAUUAUUAUUAUUAUUAUUAUUAUUAAGACAAUAACCGUAUACGUUUUGUUUUUAAAGCGGCUUGUUUUAUUUAUACAAUCAAAAAACAACAAUAAUCGUUGAAUAAUGAAUAGGCUUUUAGGGGUUUUCAACUAAAAUGUAUUAUGGAAAACGAUCCCGAUCGAGAAUGCUGGACACAAUAAGAAGUCAGCUGAGCGAUGAGGCUCGCCUAGGGUAGGAGUCGUGAAUCUCGCGACACUACAGCUCCGAUUAUAUUGCAGUACAAUGGUACCAUAUCUCCUCGGCUGGCAAAUAAUUAAACUUGUACUAGAAUUCAUCUUGAUUUGAAGGCUUAGUGGCUUCAAAUCGUGGUAAUGGAGAAAUGGAGAUGUCACGUGCGCACAGAACUCAUACAGCGAGACAGCUCACAGAAGGAUCCAUAUGCUGGCGUCUUCAGAAGUUGGUAGCCCGUUUCCGUCGGGAGGCUCUGAGCCUGGCUGGAGGCAGCAACUCGCUGAAGGCCACCCUGAACCACCAGGAGUUCACCCUUGAGAGGCAGGCCAAGGAGCUGGCCGCCCUGCAGAAGGAGCACAUGCGCCUCCGGGAGGGGAUGGUGGAGGCCUGGAAGGAGAAAGGGGACCUCCUCCAGAGAUGGAUGGAGGAGAAGAAAGAGGAGGCGGCAAGGGUUAAUAAGUACAAUGACGCACAGGAAAGGUGGCGUCGGUUGGCCAGACGGCUGAAGAAACAACUUCGGGGAGAAACGGUCAAACCUUCGGAGCAGACGGAGAUUGACGUGACGAGUGGCGAAAAAGAAGCAGCAUUCAAACUAGAAUGAGUGACAGCAUUUAUUUUGUAACUUUUUUUCAUCUGUAACUAAUAUCGCUUAAAUAACUUGUUUUACAUUCGCAGUUUAAUGUGAGCACCAUUCCUAGAAGCACAAUCCGAACUCCACUUAAACAGCAACUAAAUAUGCACCUGAUGCAACUCUCUAUUGACUACAUUUAAUGUUGUUUAGAUGGACCGUUUUUAUUGAAUCAACAUGGGCAGGCAUCACUUGUGCAUCAAGCUUACAAACCAAACUAAUAAUUCAAGAUUAUAUGCACCUCCUGAUGACGUUGUAACAUGUUUGUGUUUGUGUAACCUUAUCGGAUUGGUUUUUAGUCCGAUAAGAUCUUAAAGUGAAUCAUGUUUUUUUUACUUUUUAGUGUGACUGACAAGCCUACAUUAUUAUAUUUUAAAAAGACUCGU
ensembl:lncRNA